CCCAGCUUCGCAGGUGAGGACCCGAGCGCUGUGCCGCCGCCCCCCGCACCAGGCCACCUGUGGCUCCAGAGCCAGGCGCCAGGCUGUGCUGGCCAGCGAGACCCGGCUGCAGGACGCUGCGCUCCUGAUGGGGCCGAGCCACGAAAGGCAGCGGCGGUAGGAUCCAGCGGGUCCCGCGGCUCCGCGCCGGACCGAAGGGAGGCAGCCAGGAGCGCAGGGACCGGGCCCAGCCCCAGGGCGCCCCACGCCUACCUCCACCCCUACAGCUCUCAAAGUCCCACAGGCUGCUGCCACCCCACCAGCCUCGUGCGCCCCAGGGGAACCCAAACCUGGGCCAAUUGGGGGCGUGGCCAGCCAUCAGGCUCCACACACAGCCGCCCCCCCCCCCAAAGGUCCUGUGCUGGGGCCUGGAGGAACCAGAUGGAGCUGCCGGCUCCUGGCUUCAGCUUGGCCCAGCCCCAGCUGUUAUUGGCACUGGGAAGUGAACCAGCAGAUGAAAGAUCUCUCUCACACAGCUGGGGAACACACGUGACGCCACAUGCACCCUACACCUGCCUCCCCAUGAGAUUGGGACACAACACACACAGCUGGGGAACAUGCAUGACACCACGUGGGCCCUACACCUGAUUCCCUGCAGACACAACUCGCAUAGCUAGGGAACACGCAUGAUGCCACGUGGACCCUACACCUGCCUCCCUACGGACACAACACAGCUGAGGGACACGGGUGACGCCAUGUGCGCCCUACACCCUGGGAGGCAGCAGGUGAUGGCUCAAGUACUUGGGUGCCUGCCAUCCACCUGGAGUGAGUUCCAGGCUCCUGGCUCCAGUCCUGCCCAUGUGCGGGCAUUUGGUAAGUGAACCAGCAGAUAGAAGCUCGCUCUCUCUCUCUCUCUCUCUCUCUCCCUCUCUCUCCCUCCCUCUCAAAUAUAAAGAUAAACAGUACUGAUUUCUGGGCUCAUCACGAGGUUGUCUUCUGCCGGAAGCAGACAAACCGGCUUCUCUCAGAAGGAAGAAAUCCCUCGGGGCUCUGUCUACACAGCAGGGACACACGCCCUGCAUUUCUCCAGGUCGAGAGGACUCGGCCUGUCUGGAGCUGGGUGUGCUGGACUAACAAGCUCAGCUAAGAGUGGGGGCCACUCCCCUGGGGAGAAGGGGCUCCCAGGAGGGUCUGGUGCGGACCCUCGCACGGGGGGGGGGGGGGGG
rnacentral:lncRNA from 1 species